UGGGGAAUAUUGGACGAUGGGCGAAAGCCUGAUCCAGCAAUGCCGCGUGAGUGAUGAAGGCCUUAGGGUUGUAAAGCUCUUUUACCAGGGAUGAUAAUGACAGUACCUGGAGAAUAAGCUCCGGCUAACUCCGUGCCAGCAGCCGCGGUAAUACGGAGGGAGCUAGCGUUGUUCGGAAUUACUGGGCGUAAAGCGUACGUAGGCGGUGACUCAAGUCAGAGGUGAAAGCCUGGAGCUCAACUCCAGAACUGCCUUUGAAACUAGGUCGCUAGAAUCACGGAGAGGUGAGUGGAAUUCCGAGUGUAGAGGUGAAAUUCGUAGAUAUUCGGAAGAACACCAGUGGCGAAGGCGGCUCACUGGACGUGUAUUGACGCUGAGGCACGAAAGCUAGGGUAGCGAACGGGAUUAGAUACCCCCGUAGUCCCUGAGCGGGCUGGCAAGGCGCAU
rnacentral:rRNA from 1 species